UGGGGAAUCUUGCACAAUGGGGGCAACCCUGAUGCAGCGACGCCGCGUGAGCGAUGAAGGUUUUCGAAUCGUAAAGCUCUGUCCUAUGGGAAGAUAAUGACGGUACCAUAGGAGGAAGCCCCGGCUAACUACGUGCCAGCAUCCGCGGUAAUACGUAGGGGGCGAGCGUUGUCCGGAAUUACUGGGCGUUAAGGGUUCGCAGGCGGCCUGGCAAGUCCGAUGUAAAAGGCGAAGGCUCAACCUUCGUAAGCAUCGGAAACUGUCAAGCUUGGGUGAAGGAGAGGCAAGUGGAAAUCCUAGUGUAGCGGUGGAAUGCGUAGAUAUUCGGAGGAACACCAGUGGGGAAGGCGGCUCACUGGAACAUUACUGACGCUGAGGUGCGAAAGCGUGGGGAGCAAACAGG
rnacentral:rRNA from 1 species